CACGCAGGCGGUUUGUUAAGUCAGAUGUGAAAUCCCCGGGCUCAACCUGGGAACUGCAUCUGAUACUGGCAAGCUUGAGUCUCGUAGAGGGGGUAGAAUUCCAGGUGUAGCGGUGAAAUGCGUAGAGAUCUGGAGGAAUACCGGUGGCGAAGGCGGCCCCCUGGACGAAGACUGACGCUCAGGUGCGAAAGCGUGGGAGCAAACA
rnacentral:rRNA from 1 species